UGGACAGAUUAUUGUAUUCGACUGUAUUCAUGGCGUGAAACAGGGGAUUACACUAUUUUUAAAACAGAAAGUGAAUCAAUUAACAUAAUAGACUCCU
rnacentral:pre_miRNA from 1 species